UUAAAACUUUUACACUUGGAAAAAAAGAGCGCCCGACCCAAAACUGAAACAUAAACCCUAACCUCAGUCUUGACCUCAAUUCUCAACCCAGAUUUGAGCUCCUCCUCCCCAAACUCGAGCUCCUUCUUCUCACCAUAACAAUCAUUCCUCCUCCAUUCUCCGGCGAAAUCUGAAGCACCGGGAGAGUCAAAGAAACGUAGACCCCGACAAUGUCGUUGAAACCUCAGCUCCCUCUCAGUCCCCACCUUUCUCCGCCUCCGACUGAGAUCAAUCAGCUUCUCAUCUCAGCAACAACGACACCGUCACCGUCACUGAUAGCACCGCCGCCACCUUGACUACCAAAAACGUCACAGUUUGGAACCCUGGGGGAUCCGCUCCUUCUACUCCUCUGGUUUCCUCCUUCGUUUCAGAUUUUGGGAUUAAGCUGUGAGUUGUUUGAUUUAUCUGCUCGGAGAGCAGUAGUUCGAGGAGUUGAAAGCCGAGUUUAAGGGGAAGAUUUGGCAUCCUAUACACCUGGAAAGUGUGAGGGUUAGGCUGAUUGCCAAGGAUAUUAUUGACUCUUUGAACAGAGGGUUGAGGCAUGAUCAGGAGUGGACUGACAUGGGGGAUGCAUCGGUGGAGGUCGACUGGAAUUCGAAGGCCGGGGGAGUAAGACUGUGCAAUCAUUGAUGGAGGGUGAGAAGGGGAAAAUGGAGGGGAAUUGGUCACGUGAGGAUGAGAUUCUUGAUGAUAAGUGGAUUGAGCAUAGUAGGAAGAAGGGUAAGGAUAGUGGUGUUAAGGAUGCCACUUCGCAUUUGGUUGAUUUGGAUUGGAAGAUUUUGGCGGUGGAUGAGCCGAAUGUCAAUGUGUUUUGCUUGCUGGGUGGGAAGAUUGUGGUCUUCAUAGGGUUGCUCAAGCAAUUUAGAAGUGAUAUAUGCCGAUAUAGCUAUGAUAAUUGGUCAUGAGGUUGGGCAUGCCGUAGCUUGACACUAUCAAGAGGGCAUCACAAAAAGCCUGUGGGUUGCAAUCUUGCAACUGGUUCUUUAUAAGCUUAUUUCACCUGAUUUUGUCAACCCAUUAUCCAAUCUUUUCUUAAGGCUUCUUUUUUCCCGAAGGUACGUUACUGUUGAUUAUCAUUUGCUUAUGGAUAAAGGAUUAUGUGCUUUAUGACUCUUCUUAGUGUUGGUUCAUUUUGAUAGAGGAAGAUGCACACUGUAAAUGGUUGCAUAUGGCUUCUUGUUUUGUAGUAAGGUUACUUUGAUGAUCAGUAUACUAGGACUUAACCGGAGCAUACGUGCAGUACUUAUUGACUGGCUUGUGGAGGUGAUUGAUCUUUGUUGAUAGCUUGAUGAGGUACUGUGUAAAGAGAAACUGAAGUUGAAUUCUGAUUGUAAUUUACGUGGCUCGACUUCUUCUCCCUUUAAGAUCAGGUUGCUGAAAGUGCUAUUAACUUUGACUGGGGUUUCUGUUCCAUUAGAAGCUCUUCAACCUCUUUGGACCUCCAUGAACCGUAAAUCUUGGGGUAGAAAGUUACAUUCCUCGUCAUCAGCUGAAGACCUUCUCCAGGUUCUGGCAUCGCUGGAAGGUGCCAUAAAGAUAGAAUAUUUAUCUUCAAACUUUGAGACUACCGGUGAGCUGCUAUAUUCCUCAAAUGAAAAAGGACGUACGUGUUACUAGCAAUUUUUCUUUUCCUGAUAGCGUUGUUGUGCUUCCAUGGAUACCACUUACAAUAGUUGCUGUGGCUCUUAUGCUCAUGGAGUUUGAUAUAUGUGGCCAUCGUAAACAUGCUACAGAAGAAGUUGGAGACUCAGAAGAACAAGGAAUCUGAGAAUUUUAUAAAAAUAUGAGGAGAUCUGUGCACCCCUGGUUGAAGAAUUUUGUUACAUUACUUAUAGGGUCCCUUAUUGAUAACUCAUGUUUUAAGGAAAGAGUGGGCAGUAAAGACGCUCAAAUCAUAUAGCCAAAAUGAUAUUGACAAGGUGUGCAUUGAAGCGGCUGAUUAUAUACAGAGAUUGGUGUAAGACUUUUGGCUUCCAUGAUUUUGAGUAAGGCUAGUUUUUGCUUUGAAGCAAGUUUGGUGUAGAACGUACUUUUGUAGUUGGUUGCUACUAUGUUUCUAAGCUAGCCUUUGUAGGUUUUGGGUUUUAUUUUGUGAAUUAUAUUGAAUCAUGAAUUUGGAAAGAAAAUUAAUGGAAAGCUCCAAUUUUUGGGUGAUGAGAAAUGUAUUUCUUUUUCCAGCAACUAGAUGA